CCUUCGCCGCUUGUUUCAGGUGCUCUGUGGCUGCGGUCGACAGAGUGAAACAGGGAAGCCGGUGAGUGCAUACGAACCCGGCGCUGCCCCCGCAACGGUAAAUGAGUCAACGCUGCGCUUUGUGGCCACACAGGCCACUCACCACUGUGUCGCAGACAUGGGAAGGCGCGCAGCCAGGCACCACGCCGCUCAUGAGCCCGGAGACCGGCCUGAUCCAUCCAACGGCA
rnacentral:ncRNA from 2 species